rnacentral:lncRNA from 1 species
CUGUUGUGUACCUUUCCUAAUGGUUGUUCUUUUGAACAGCGAGUUAAACCAUGGUAGCGAAGAAAGUUAUCACCAUUUGUCAGUCGGGAGGUGAAUUUGAGACAGAUACUGAUGGUGUACUUUCUUACAAAGGUGGUGAUGCUCAUGCUAUGGAAAUCGAUGGUCAAAUGAAGUUCAAAGAUUUCAAGUUGGAGGUAGCAGAGAUGUUUAACUGCAAUCUAAGUACUAUGUCCAUCAAAUAUUUCCUUCCGGCAAACAAGAAGACGCUUAUCUCCAUCACCAAUGACAAAGACCUCAAGCGCAUGAUUAAAUUCUUUGGUAACUCUGACACUGCAGAGAUAUACGUAAUGAAUGAAGAAAUUGUUGAUCCUGAUGUCUCCAACAUGCCUGGCAGUAGGUAGUACUCUUGCUGUCUAGUAGUAUAGAAUUGUUUUCUUCUGUAGAUAAUGCAUUUAGGGACAUUUUAACUUGCAGGUCGAGUAGGACAACUUUGUCAGAAGCGGCUCCUGCUGAUGCUUCGCCAGAUAUGAUUGUAAAUGACAUGAACGAGCCUGAACUGCUACUUGAUUCCUCUUUUGAUGUGGUUGUCGAUACUAACCAUGUUGAGGCUCUUUUUGAUGUACCAACUGAAAGGCCCGUUCGUUCUAAAAUGCCUGUGCCAAUUUCUUUUGUUAGUUAUGAUGAGAAAGAUGCUAAAGCUGCUGAGCAGUGGCUGAACAUUAUUACUGGGGUGGGACAAAGGUUCAAUAGUGUAAAUGAGUUUCGCGAGGCAUUACGUAAAUAUGCCCUGGCACAUCAGUUUGCUUUCAAAUACAAGAAAAAUGAUAGUCAUCGUGUAUCUGUUAAAUGCAAGGCCGAUGGUUGUCCAUGGAGAAUUUAUGCAUCAAGGUUGGUGACCACUCAGCUGAUAUGUAUUAAGAAAAUGAUUCCAACACAUUCUUGUGAAGGAUCUGCACUUACAACUGGCAUUCAGGCAACAAGAAGUUGGGUUGCUAGCAUCGUGAAGGAGAAGUUGAAAGUUUUUCCGAACUAUAAGCCCAAAGACAUUGUUAAAGACAUCAAAGAGGAAUUUGGGAUCCAGUUGAAUUACUUUCAGGCAUGGCGGGGGAAAGAAAUUGCUAAGGAGCAGCUCCAGGGUUCUUACAAAGAGGCAUAUAGUAAGUUACCACUUUUCUGUGAGAAGAUAAUGGAAACAAAUCCCGGAAGUUUAGCGACUUUUGCCACUAAAGAAGACUCGAGCUUCCAUCGCCUCUUUGUGUCUUUCCAUGCUUCCCUAUAUGGCUUCGAACAAGGCUGCCGUCCUUUGCUUUUCCUAGAUGGCAUAUUUUUGAAGUCUAAAUAUCAAGGCACACUUUUGGUAGCAACAGCUGUUGAUGGGAAUGAUGGUGUUUUUCCUGUUGCUUUUGCUGUUGUGGAUGCUGAAUCUGAUGACAACUGGCAUUGGUUCUUACUACAACUCAAAACUGCUUUGUCAGUGUGUCGUGGGAUAACUUUUGUGGCAGAUAGAGAGAAGGGACUAAAAGAGUCAAUUGCUGAAAUUUUUCAGAAUGAUGAUGUUUACCAUAGCUACUGCCUGACCCAUCUCUCUGAGCAAUUUAUCAGAGACUUGAAGGGACAGUUUUCUCAUGAAGUGAAGCGUCUUAUGGUUGAAGAUUUUUAUAGUGCUGCUCAUGCUUCUACCCCUGAAGACUUCCAAAGAUGUGUGGAAAGCAUCAAAACUAUUUCAAUAGAAGCAUACAGUUGGAUCAUGCAAAGUGAGCCUGUUCAUUGGGCAAAUGCAUUCUUCCAAGGUGCAAGAUAUAACCACAUGACUUCAAACUUCGGAGAACUGUUCCAGAGUUGGUUAUCAGAUGCACAUGAAUUGCCAAUAAUCCAGAUGGUUGAUGCCAUUCGAGGUAAGAUUAUGGAGUUGAUAUAUACCCGGCAGACAGAAUCUAACCAUUGGCAGACAAGAUUAACUCCAUCAAUGGAGGGGAAACUCGAAAAAGAAAACAUUAAAGUUAGAACCCUUCAGGUAUUAAUAUCAGCUGGUAACAGAUUUGAGGUACGUGGGGAUACCAUUGAAACUGUUGAUGUGGAUAACUGUGUUUGUAGUUGCAAGGAGUGGCAGCUUACUGGAUUACCCUGCUGCCAUGCAAUCGCUGUCAUUACUUGUGUUAACCGUGAUCCAUAUGAUUAUUGUUCUAGAUACUUCACAACUAAUAACUAUAGAGUAACAUAUUCACAGUCAAUACAUCCUGUUUCGAAUAUAGAUGGCCCCUGGCUGAAGGGCUCUUCUCAGUUGGCAGUGGCUGUAACCCCUCCUCCAACUCGUCGUCCACCAGGCCGGCCUACUACAAAGAAAAUUGGCUCACAGGAUGCAGCAAAACGUCAACUUCAAUGCAGUAGAUGCAAGGGUAGUGGGCACAACAAAUCAAGCUGUAAAGAGAUUUUGCUGGAAUGAUAAACUAUGUAAGUAUACUUUAUGAUCUUUUUGGCUGCAUCGUUUACAUAUAUCUAUUUAACAUCCUUUAACAUAUCAGAUGGCUUCCAUUCAUUAGCAAACUGUAUUGACCUGAGUGGAAAGGAACAUCUUCCAUCUAUACUUCCUUGACUGUUCAUAAUGUCAACAUAUUCAUGGUCUAUGUAGAUCUUCCUUCAUUGCUUUCUUGGAAACAUCCUGCUCCUACGCUAAUGUAGAUAUUCUGAGUGUUAGUCUGUCUGUUAGAUUUACAUUUGGCCUGUUGAUAUUCCAAUACCUUUUGUAUUGUCAGUAGCCUUCCAUGUUUUUUUUCACCUUCACUGUCAAGUGGUUCAGAGUGAGGCUUUCUCCCUAUCCUAUAAAGCACGAGCACGCCUAGAUGCUCCUCACUCCUCAGACACUCCAAUACUUGUGUCUGACAAGCCAAGUGUUGUGUCUUAUUCUUUAAAUGUCUGACACUUGAGGGAUAGUUUAGGGACAUGCGUUGGUGUCCGACUGUUGUGAAAAUUUUUGUUUCAGUGUGCCAUGUUAUUCCGUGUUGGUGUAUGUGCUUCUUAGACCCUAGCAUCUUUACAGAAUUUAUGCAUAUUCUCCCAAGAGUUUGUCACUGCACCCUAGCUCCUUCGACUACCAGAAUCUUUUCUCGAUUUGUUACCUAUCCUCUGCAUAGAAUAUUUUUUAAUAUGUAUUGGAGCUGUCGUAAUGCGUAUACUCCUCUAUGCAAAACUUCUUGCUUUCAAAUGAUGAAUUAAGAGACUAAGAUGUCUAUUUCCAACUACGUAAAUAAAGAAAGCUAUUGUACUUUAACUACUCAUUCCUUAUUCCCAUGGUUUAACAAACCCAAUUGAAACUCAUCUUAAGGUUCGCGUCAGAUUAAGGCUUGCAAAACACUUUAAGAUGCUGAUUAUGAGGCAAUUUUUUGAAGUGUACAGCACUAUGGAGCAUCGACACGUGGCCAACAUGCCUUUGACACAUGUUGAAUAUGCUACGUGGUGGUUCCAUCAUUUUCUCUAAUUUUAUAUUGCCAAACAUCGUGAAUAUUCCUCCUACAUGCCUUUGGAAGUUCAUGACACUACGUGAUUACUUGCAAAUGGUCGAAAAAAAGAAGGUAAAUUCACAUGACAUAUAUCGACUUCGUCCUUUUCUGAUAGCUAAAUUGCAAGCCUGCAACAUUGCUGUCGCUAUUGGGGGUUGGUGGCUUUGGGCUCUUUCCAUUUUAUCAAUCAAAAAGGCACUAAUGGCGAAGGAAACCUUAGAUGACGAAUUUACUUUUCAGAUUCCUAAUCUAAAGUAACACACUUUCUCUUAUUAAGUGUGUGCUUAGUUAGGGAAAACAUAGUUGUCCAAUUGACUUGCCUUUAUUAAAGGGCCAAGCAGCAUGUUUUAUUUGUUAGGUACAUAGGCGACUUUUCUUUUUUUAAGACAGAGAUGUGUUUUAUUAAAUAUAUCAAUCAACUGGGAGGGAAAAAAAUAAUUUAGCCUUCUUUUUUUCUAAGAAGAAUGUAACUUUCCUUUUUAACCAAUAGAAUAUUAAAAAAUUAUCAAGCAAUCGUCCCCUUUUACACUUUGAAAAUUGGGCACCUAACUUUUACGGUAUUAUUAAUAUUUUAAUUGCUUUAUAUUGUAUAGUUGAAAAAAUGGUUUUAAAAUUUUUUUAGCCCUUGUUUGAGCCACAUUAUUUUCAUAAGAAUGCUUUUUUUAAUAGUAUAUUGAUGGUAAAUGUGUGGUUAAAAAAUGAGGAAAAGUUUUGGAUUUGUGUGUAAUAUUAAUAUUUUGAUGAAGAAUGUGUACUUGAAAUUAUGUCAAAUCAUUGUUUAAGAAUGUAUUUUUUUGAAAGAAUGAAUCAAAACACUGGGUUUCAUGCAUGCCAUUAGAUUAUCGAAAGAUGAUAUUGUUUUGCUCUCACUUCAAUUUAAAGAUGUGCUGGCUUUUGAUAAGCUUUUAUUGUGUUUUUAUUCCAUGGUGUGCUGCUGUUUAACAAUUUAAUCUGUAUUCUCUUCCUUCCACAGGGUUGCUCUAUUGGUGAAUCAACAUCUUCGACCGGCAAUAUUUUCUGAUGAGUUUAAUUCAAGUCUCACUUAGUUCAUCAUUCCUUUGAUCAUUUAUCUGACUUCAGGUUCUUAGUAGUGAAAAUGGUGUUGAUAAUGGAAGGAGUCUGAGUGCUAUUCAACAGCAUUCUUUUCAGCAUGUUUCUUAUAGUUCUUGGAAGGCUGAUGGUAUGUACAUAGUAACAAACUUCUGUUACUACUUUCUUGCCUGUAUGAUGUAGAACCUCCCUAACAUGCGUGUGAUCUUUUUGUUGGCUGCUAAUUUAGUCUUCGGUGUUGGUGGAUAAGAACGCAAAUAUGAUCCUGACAUGAUUAAUAAAGUGGACAGUGUUAGGUAGUCAAUAAGAAAGCGAAUCUAAAUUUGUCCGUUGAACUGUCCAGUUCAUUACGGUAUUCU